rnacentral:tRNA from 1 species
GCGAAAGUAGCUCAGUUGGUAGAGCACAACCUUGCCAAGGUUGAUGUCGAGGGUUCGAGCCCCUUCUUUCGCU